GGUUAAGCGACUAAGCGUACACGGUGGAUGCCCUGGCAGUCAGAGGCGAUGAAGGACGUGCUAAUCUGCGAUAAGCGUCGGUGAGGUGAUAUGAACCGUUAUAACCGGCGAUUUCCGAAUGGGGAAACCCAGUGUGUUUCGACACACUAUCAUUAACUGAAUCCAUAGGUUAAUGAGGCGAACCGGGGGAACUGAAACAUCUAAGUACCCCGAGGAAAAGAAAUCAACCGAGAUUCCCCCAGUAGCGGCGAGCGAACGGGGAGGAGCCCAGAGCCUGAAUCAGUGUGUGUGUUAGUGGAAGCGUCUGGAAAGGCGUGCGAUACAGGGUGACAGCCCCGUACACAAAAAUGCACAUAUUGUGAGCUCGAUGAGUAGGGCGGGACACGUGGUAUCCUGUCUGAAUAUGGGGGGACCAUCCUCCAAGGCUAAAUACUCCUGACUGACCGAUAGUGAACCAGUACCGUGAGGGAAAGGCGAAAAGAACCCCGG
rnacentral:rRNA from 1 species